CCUACGGGAGGCAGCAGUGAGGAAUAUUGGUCAAUGGCCGUAAGGCUGAACCAGCCAAGUCGCGUGAAGGAAGAAGGAUCUAUGGUUUGUAAACCUCUUUUAUAGGGGAAUAAAGGUAUCCACGUGUGGAUGUUUGCAUGUACCCUAUGAAUAAGCAUCGGCUAACUCCGUGCCAGCAGCCGCGGUAAUACGGAGGAUGCGAGCGUUAUCCGGAUUUAUUGGGUUUAAAGGGUGCGUAGGUUGUUUUUUAAGUCAGCGGUGAAAGUUUGUGGCUCAACCAUAAAAUUGCCGUUGAAACUGGAAGACUUGAGUGUGUUUGAGGUAGGCGGAAUGCGUGGUGUAGCGGUGAAAUGCAUAGAUAUCACGCAGAACUCCGAUUGCGAAGGCAGCUUACUAAGCCAUAACUGACACUGAAGCACGAAAGCGUGGGGAUCAAACAGGAUUAGAUACCCGAGUAGUC
rnacentral:rRNA from 1 species